UCCGAGUUGACCCCGGCAGUCUCCCAUGAGUCCCCGCCAUAACCCGCUGGCAACAUGGAACGAGGGUUGCGCUCGUUGCGGGACUUAACCCAACAUCUCACGACACGAGCGCAACCCCCGUCCUUAGUUGCUACCAUUUAGUUGAGCACUCUAAGGAGACUGCCGGUGAUAAGCCGCGAGGAAGGUGGGGAUGACGUGUCGUUACCUUA
rnacentral:misc_RNA from 1 species